CGGGGGCGGCGCGCUGCCCGGCGGGAGGGUGGUGCGCUUAGGCCUCGGUAGGCCGCAGGGCCGGCACCUAGAGAGGGGGGCGCGAGCGCUGUGAGAAGGCAGAGCUACGCACGUACGGCUCCGUCAGAGAGCCAGGCCGUUAGAAGCACGGUGCUUUACGCGGCCUUUAGGGAGACAAAACCUUUAAACGUAAGGAAUGACGCCUUGUGACAGGUUCAGCCCCCCUAAGCGCUGCAUUAUGUAAUAUCUACUGAACUUCAGAAAACAACAUGGGCAGUGCAGCAGACAAGGAAAUAAAAUGCUGCUUGAAAACCGAAGAACCACUCCUUGGAUGUUAAGAUUUAUUUAAAGGAUCACAUCAAGGAUCAAUCGUGCAAUAUUUUCAGUACUUUUUGUCCCAGCCCAACAAAUCACUUCAGCAGAAGAGUAGCACUGUUGGUUACGUAAUUUUUCAUUGACUUAUUUAAGCCUGCAUGCAAGUGCAGAACCCAGAAUGCAUCUUGUCCAUCUUUUGGAAAGGGCACAGCAAUUCAGCAUGCUUCAUUUUUCCUGCGCAGUCAGUUCCUAGCCGAACUGACCUCGGAUAAACCAUGUGGUGUCCAUGUGAAAAGUAUCAGUCUCGUAGGAUUUGGACAGAGUUCAGCAAAUUGAUUUGACAACCAUAUGGUCCUCUUCAUCCACAUGAACCUUGAAGAAGUCUGACUUCCUUCCAGCCUGUUGAGUAGAGUAAGGGAAGAUGGGAACCAUUCUUAAAACUUGCCAAUGUUAUUCCUAAAUUUGCUGGAUGAGAACACCGUCAACAAACUGCC
ensembl:lncRNA